rnacentral:lncRNA from 1 species
GGGAAUUCCACCUGAGCAGCGGGGGUGACGAAAGCCUCAGUGGACUGAGGCAAGGACGGAAAGCAAGGCCCCAGAGACACAGGGUAAAGACCAGACCCCUUAAGUCUCCACGUCGCUCUGAGGCCUGCCCCGCUCUGGUCUACCUUUGCACAGCCCCCACAUGAUAGUCCCAUGUCCUCUGUGGAGAGUCACAUCCUGUCUGGCCAGUGGGCAGGAAUAUUGUAGCCAUCUCUGGGUGUGUUCUUGGCAGUCUACAGAAGUUUUAAAAUCGUAUGCUCUCAUGUCAGUGAAAAACUUAGUCUUAUAUUAAUACAAGGGUAUUCUCAAUCCCAAAGGCCACAUGUCACCAUGACUGGCUGCACAAAUGCAGGUCUAACAGGUAUGAAUAAAGUAGUAGGAGAAUCAAGAUCUCACAUGCGUACGGCAAACCCUACUGAGCUGCUUCCAAUCUCAAUGACAGCCAUAAAUGGACUAACUGCAUAUUUAAUUAUUACUUUAAAGUAAUGCCACAAAUCUAACUUUAUCUUCAGGAGACCAUAAAGCUUGAGUAUUCCAUGUCAGCCAAGCCUUAAAAUCACUGCCAUCUCAGAUGGCAAAAUUACGCAAAAAGGCAACAUGUAUACUGGCAUUACUCAAGUCAAAAUGCCAAAAUAGAUUAAAUAUUAAUCUGAAUCUGAAGCUACAUCUUUCUCCUAUUCAACCCAUCGUUGUUAAUAUUUUGGUUUUAUAGUUAUUUGGAAGUUACGAGAACUCAUGCAAAUUCCUUACAAGAUGAUUGUACACAUUAGGGCACUAGAGCCAGGCGGACUUGGGACCGGGGAAGUUCUGUUUGCUCCAUCUCUUAGUGAUAUACGGAAGGGAAGUGCUAGGAAGGGAAGAGCUGGGUAGAGGAGGGCAUGGUCCCUGGCUAGGGCUCCAUCCCCACAGACCUAGGUGAGGACGGGAGGCAGAGGUUGCAGUGAGCCAAGAUCGCGCCACUGCACUCCAGCCUGGUGACAGAGUGAGACUCCACCUCAAAAACAAAACAAAACAACAACAACAAACCCCAAGACCCUAGCAGGGAGGCACACAGGCAGCUGGACAUUGAGAGGAGCACAUCAGCAGAGGAACACACAGGCGGCUGGAUGUUGAGAGGAAUGCCCCAGCAGGCACCGGCAUGCACCAGCAGGCUGGCAGGCCAUCGACCAGCAGAAUGACAUGGAAUUUGGUGGGGCAGUCGGAGAAGAGCGAGGCUGCCGAGCAGCCUGACUCCAGGGAAAACCCAUCUCCCUUCUGGCUCCCGCAUCUGCUGACAACUACUUCCGCUCAAUAAAACC